CAGAGGGGGCAAGCGUUGUUCGGAAUUACUGGGCGUAAAGGGCGCGUAGGCGGCCUUCUAAGUCGAACGUGAAAUCCCCGGGCUCAACCCGGGAACUGCGUCCGAUACUGGAAGGCUUGAAUCCGGGAGAGGGAUGCGGAAUUCCAGGUGUAGCGGUGAAAUGCGUAGAUAUCUGGAGGAACACCGGUGGCGAAGGCGGCAUCCUGGACCGGCAUUGACGCUGAGGCGCGAAAGCUAGGGGAGCAAACGGGAUUAGAUACCCCGGUAGUCCUAGCCCUAAACGAUGAAUGCUUGGUGUGGCGGGUAUCGAUCCCUGCCGUGCCGAAGCUAACGCAUUAAGCAUUCCGCCUGGGGAGUACGGUCGCAAGGCUG
rnacentral:rRNA from 1 species